rnacentral:rRNA from 1 species
CCGGAUGAUGUCGCGAGACCAUGAUUUAUCGCCCAGGGAUGAGCCCGCGUCGGAUNAGGUAGUUGGUGGGGUAAAGGCCUACCAAGCCGACGAUCCGUAGCUGGUCNGAGAGGAUGAUCAGCCACACUGGGACUGAGACACGGCCCAGACUCCUACGGGAGGCAGCAGUGGGGAAUAUNGGACAAUGGGCGAAAGCCUGAUCCAGCAAUGCCGCGUGAGUGAUGAAGGCCUUAGGGUUGUANAAGCUCUUUUACCCGGGAUGAUAAUGACAGUACCGGGANAAUAAGCUCCGGCUAACUCCGUGCCAGCAGCCGCGGUAAUACGGAGGGANCUANNGUNGUUCGGAA